rnacentral:rRNA from 1 species
AUUGAACGCUGGCGGCAGGCCUAACACAUGCAAGUCGAACGAGUGGCGGACGGGUGAGUAAUGUAUGGGAAACUGCCCGAUGGAGGGGGAUAACUACUGGAAACGGUAGCUAAUACCGCAUACCCUCGGAUGUGCCCAGAUGGGAUGAGCUAGUAGGUGGGGUCACGGCUCACCUCGGCGACGAUCCAUAGCGGGUCUGAGAGGAUGACCAGCCACACUGGAACUGAGACACGGGCCAGACUCCGACGGGAGGCAGCAGUGGGGAAUAUGUCACAGUGGGCGCAAGCCUGAUGCAGCCAUGCCGCGUGUAUGAAGAAGGCCUUCGGGUUGUAAAGUACUUUCAGCGAGGAGGCGUUACUCGCAGAAGAAGCACCGGCUAACUCCGUGCCAGCAGCCGCGGUAAUUC